rnacentral:rRNA from 1 species
GACGAACGCUGGCGGCGUGCUUAACACAUGCAAGUCGAACGGAAAGGCCCUGCUUUUGUGGGGUGCUCGAGUGGCGAACGGGUGAGUAACACGUGAGUAACCUGCCCUUGACUUUGGGAUAACUUCAGGAAACUGGGGCUAAUACCGGAUAGGAGCUCCUGCUGCAUGGUGGGGGUUGGAAAGUUUCGGCGGUUGGGGAUGGACUCGCGGCUUAUCAGCUUGUUGGUGGGGUAGUGGCUUACCAAGGCUUUGACGGGUAGCCGGCCUGAGAGGGUGACCGGCCACAUUGGGACUGAAAUACGGCCCAGACUCCUACGGGAGGCAGCAGUGGGGAAUAUUGCACAAUGGGCGGAAGCCUGAUGCAGCAACGCCGCGUGCGGGAUGACGGCCUUCGGGUUGUAAGCCGCUUUCGCCUGUGACGAAGCGUGAGUGACGGUAAUGGGUAAAGAAGCACCGGCUAACUACGUG